rnacentral:rRNA from 1 species
GACGAACGCUGGCGGCGUGCUUAACACAUGCAAGUCGAACGGAAAGGCCCUGCUUUUGUGGGGUGCUCGAGUCGCGAACGGGUGAGUAACACGUGAGUAACCUGCCCUUGACUUUGGGAUAACUUCAGGAAACUGGGGCUAAUACCGGAUAGGAUCUCCUGCUGCAUGGUGGGGGUUGGAAAGUUUCGGCGGUUGGGGAUGGACUCGCGGCUUAUCAGCUUGUUGGUGGGGUAGUGGCUUACCAAGGCUUUGACGGGUAGCCGGCCUGAGAGGGUGACCGGCCACAUUGGGACUGAGAUACGGCCCAGACUCCUACGGGAGGCAGCAGUGGGGAAUAUUGCACAAUGGGCGGAAGCCUGAUGCAGCAACGCCGCGUGCGGGAUGACGGCCUUCGGGUUGUAAACCGCUUUCGCCUGUGACGAAGCGUGAGUGACGGUAAUGGGUAAAGAAGCACCGGCUAACUACGUG